GAUGAAGAACGUAGCGAAAUGCGAUAAGCAAUGUGAAUUGCAGAAUUCAGUGAAUCAUCGAAUCUUUGAACGCACAUUGCGCCCGCCAGUAUUCUGGCGGGCAUGCCUGUUCGAGCGUCAUUACAACCCUCAGGCCCCCGGGCCUGGCGUUGGGGAUCGGCGGAGCCCCCCGUGGGCACACGCCGUCCCCCAAAUACAGUGGCGGUCCCGCCGCAGCUUCCAUCGCGUAGUAGCUAACACCUCGCGACUGGAGAGCGGCGCGGCCACGCCGUAAAACACCCAACUCUUCUGAAGUUGACCUCGAAUCAGGUAGGAAUACCCGCUGAACUUAAGCAUAUCAAUAAGCGGAGGA
rnacentral:misc_RNA from 1 species